GGGGGAUAUUGCACAAUGGAGGAAACUCUGAUGCAGCAACGCCGCGUGAGGGAAGACGGUUUUCGGAUUGUAAACCUCUGUCCUUGGUGACGAAACAAAUGACGGUAGCCAAGGAGGAAGCUCCGGCUAACUACGUGCCAGCAGCCGCGGUAAUACGUAGGGAGCAAGCGUUGUCCGGAAUUACUGGGCGUAAAGGGUGUGCAGGCGGAUAUUUAAGUGAGAUGUGAAAGACCCGGGCUUAACCCGGGCAGUGCAUUUCAAACUGGAUAUCUAGAGUGCAGGAGAGGAGAACGGAAUUCCUAGUGUAGCGGUGAAAUGCGUAGAGAUUAGGAAGAACACCAGUGGCGAAGGCGGUUCUCUGGACUGUAACUGACGCUGAGGCACGAAAGCGUGGGUAGCAAACA
rnacentral:rRNA from 2 species